GGGGGCGUCACGGUUUCGACGGGGACAUUUGAAGUUGUAGAUGCGUACCGAGGUUCCUACAGGCCUCGUUAAACAGGUAGGAAACAUAUAAUCGCAGACAACUACGAUUACGCCUUAGCCGCUUAAGACGGCUAACGUCCUGCACGGUUUUCCUGUUGGCUUUGUAAGGACGUCAUUAAGACAGGAUAGCCAAACUCUCUUCCUGAGGGAGGGCGGCGAAACACUUUCAGGAUAGCGCGGUGCGAUCCGGCCUGAGGGAGCAAACCAAGCGUGAAGGUUCUAAAACGAAGGCUAUGUACGUAGAUUCUCCAGCGGAAGGUUUUCGGACGCGGGUUCGACUCCCGCCGCCUCCACCA
rnacentral:tmRNA from 1 species